GAUGAACGCUGGCGGCGUGCUUAACACAUGCAAGUCGAACGAUGAAGCUCAGCUUGCUGGGUGGAUUAGUGGCGAACGGGUGAGUAACACGUGAGUAACCUGCCCUUAACUCUGGGAUAAGCCUGGGAAACUAGGUCUAAUACCGGAUAGGAGCGCCUACCGCAUGGUGGGUGUUGGAAAGAUUUAUCGGUUUUGGAUGGACUCGCGGCCUAUCAGCUUGUUGGUGAGGUAAUGGCUCACCAAGGCGACGACGGGUAGCCGGCCUGAGAGGGUGACCGGCCACACUGGGACUGAGACACGGCCCAGACUCCUACGGGAGGCAGCAGUGGGGAAUAUUGCACAAUGGGCGAAAGCCUGAUGCAGCGACGCCGUGUGAGGGAUGACGGCCUUCGGGUUGUAAACCUCUUUCAGUAGGGAAGAAGCGAAAGUGACGGUACCUGCAGAAGAAGCACCGGCUAACUACGUG
rnacentral:rRNA from 1 species